AGAAAAGCAGGCUAGAAGCCAGAUCCCAGAAGAUCUCUGGGUGGAGAGAGCUUUUCCUUUUCUCCUUAGCAGAGGUUUGAGAAGAACUGAAACUGCAAGUGAUGUGGUGUAUGAAUCACUAAGUACUUAUAUGGAAAAAGAAAACCUGAGAGAGAGGGCGUGCGCCACUUGAUGUCCAAGACCAGCAUGGAUAAAACAAAUCAUGAAACCAAGGUUCUUUGGUGCAUGUUUGUCAUAUUCUGCAUGCAAAAAGGAGAAAGUGGGAGCAUUUUUUAUUUAUUAUCACAGGCAAUGGGAAUCCAGUCAGACUACUUUCAAGCAUAAUCCCAAACUUAGCUGAAGAUUUAGCCAAAAGGUUGUUUCUAGUCAAAGUUGUAGAGGAAAAGCUUGACUGUGAGUCAACUGAGCCAAGGAUCAAAAUGUAAAUCAUAAUCGUCACAUCUUUAUCACCAGAUUGUGUUUCCAGAUUUAAAGAGAACAGAGAGGUCUUUUUUCCUCUCAUGUAAUUCCAUUGUAAAAGUAUCUAAGAUAGUCCAUUUACUAGGUUAUCUUGAAACUUCAGAAACUUGAAAGCAUGUUAUAGGGGAAAUGUAGUACUGCAUAAACCCUCACACUUCAGCCAGCAAAAUAAAAGGGAGAUUUGAUACCCCAAUAGUAUUAACAUUGUAUUUACAGCUGCUGCUGCCCACAUAAAAAAAAUAUUUCCCAGGGGCUGAGAUCAAAGGCACUGCCACAGUGUGACAUGGUAUGGGACUACACUAUAACAAUUUUACAGUGUUAACAGAUUGUUUCCAAUGAAAGUGUAUGUGAUAGAACUGCAGGUGUUCAUAAACAGAUUGCAGGAUCAAAAGAUUUUAAAAUUCUGGGCUACAUUUUAAGUUAGCCCCUUCUGGUGUACAGUAGCUUAAUUGUGGGUCUACAAAAAGCACCUUUUUGCAACCUAUAACUAAAUGGACUAUCUUAA